rnacentral:rRNA from 1 species
GACAGAGGAUGCAAGCGUUAUCCGGAGUGAUUGGGCGUAAAGCGUCUGUAGGUGGCUUUUUAAGUCCGCCGUCAAAUCCCAGGGCUCAACCCUGGACAGGCGGUGGAAACUACCAAGCUGGAGUACGGUAGGGGCAGAGGGAAUUUCCGGUGGAGCGGUGAAAUGCGCAGAUAUCAGGAGGAACACCGGUGGCGAAGGCGGGUCUCUGGGCCGUAACUGACGCUGAGGAGCGAAAGCGUGGGGAGCAAACAGG